rnacentral:misc_RNA from 1 species
AAAAUGUGAAGAAAAAUCCAAAUGUAAAGUUGGCACGUUCUUGAAGAAUCAUUUUCCCAACUUCCUACCCAAUCAAAUUACGCUUUAUUUUAUGUCUGUCAUUGCGAUAAUCAUCAACUCUUGCAUGUACAAGCCAUAAUCAGUAACCUUACGAAUCCCAUUUAGAAACUCAUUUUAAAAGUAACCCUCUUCCAAAACAAAAAGGCAAUACCAUUGGUGGAACCAACCAAUCGACACUCAUCAUCUCCCCCAGUCCCAGCUCACCCAUUCACUGCCAAAUUGUUGCACUUGAACCAAAAGAUUAGCCUUAAACCUUCCUGCAAGAUUUCAGCUUCAAAAAGAGACGGAUAUGGCUGCUAUAAAGAGGGCCAAUCGGUGGACCAA